rnacentral:rRNA from 1 species
CCCUUAGACGUUCUGGGCCGCACGCGCGCUACACUGACCAGUGCAACAAGCAUCCGUCCUUGGCCGACAGGCUCGGGCAAUCUUUGAACGCUGGUCGUGAUGGGGAUAGACUUUUGCAAUUUUUGGUCUUCAACGAGGAAUGCCUAGUAAGCGCAAGUCAUCAGCUUGCGUUGAUUACGUCCCUGCCCUUUGUACACACCGCCCGUCGCUCCUACCGAUUGAAUGGUCCGGUGAAGCGUUCGGACCGUGGCCUUUGGACGGUUCGCCGUCUGUUGGCUGCGGGAAGUUCGUUAAACCUUAUCAUUUAGAGGAAGGAGAANUCGUAACA